UUGUGUUUAUGCUUGUCUAUUCUCUUCUUUUUAUUCUAAUAAUAUUGACUAUGGUUUUUAUUGUGUGUUGUUGAAUCUCUUCUUCUUCUCAUGGCGGAUUUCGAAAAAAAAAAACUAGGCUUGAACAAGGGGUGGUAAAGUUUGGGUGUUGAUCAAUUUGUGUUCUUGAUUUUACAAUCAAGAGAAGGGUUGCUAAGGAUAUGUAGACGUAACCCGAGUUACUAAGGAUAUGAAGACGUAGCUCAAAGGGCAGACGCGCCAAGUUUAUUCAAGGACCAGAGAUCAUGUUGACCUCAAAGGGUGACAUGGAUAAGUUAACGGGCCAUGUUCACAAGGAUAUGAUGUUUAUGUGAUGAUGUUAUGAUGAUGAUGAUUUUUCAUAUGAUGCCAAUGUUGUUAUGAUUAUGUUUAUGUUUAUGAUGUUGAUGCUAUUACGAUAAUGAUGAUAUGAUGUGUGACGAUGUAUGAUGCGAUUAUGAUUUGUUUGAUUUACUUGUGUGCA